GCCCUAGUAACGGCGAGUGAAGCGGCAACAGCUCAAAUUUGAAAUCUGGCCUUCGGGUCCGAGUUGUAAUUUGUAGAGGAUGCUUUUGGUGAGGUACCUUCCGAGUUCCCUGGAACGGGACGCCAUAGAGGGUGAGAGCCCCGUCUGGUUGGAUACCGAUCCUCUGUAAAGCUCCUUCGACGAGUCGAGUAGUUUGGGAAUGCUGCUCUAAAUGGGAGGUAUAUGUCUUCUAAAGCUAAAUAUUGGCCAGAGACCGAUAGCGCACAAGUAGAGUGAUCGAAAGAUGAAAAGCACUUUGAAAAGAGAGUUAAAAAGUACGUGAAAUUGUUGAAAGGGAAGCGCUCAUGACCAGACUUGGGCUUGGUUGAUCAUCCAGGGUUCUCCCUGGUGCACUCUUCCAGCUCAGGCCAGCAUCAGUUCGCCGCGGGGGAUAAAGGCUUCGGGAAUGUGGCUCCUCCGGGAGUGUUAUAGCCCGCUGCGUAAUACCCUGUGGCGGACUGAGGUUCGCGCAUCUGCAAGGAUGCUGGCGUAAUGGUCAUCAGCGACCCGUCUUGAAACACGGACCAAGGAGUCGUCUUCGUAUGCGAGUGUUCGGGUGUUAAACCCCUACGCGUAAUGAAAGUGAACGCAGGUGAGAGCUUCGGCGCAUCAUCGACCGAUCCUGAUGUUCUCGGAUGGAUUUGAGUAAGAGCAUACGGGGCCGGACCCGAAAGAAGGUGAACUAUGCCUGUAUAGGGUGAAGCCAGAGGAAACUCUGGUGGAGGCUCGCAGCGGUUCUGACGUGCAAAUCGAUCGUCAAAUAUGGGCAUGGGGGCGAAAGACUAA
rnacentral:rRNA from 1 species